UUCGCCCUUAGAGUUUGAUCCUGGCUCAGGACGAACGCUGGCGGCGCGCCUAACACAUGCAAGUCGAACGAGCGAGAGAGAGCUUGCUUUCUCGAGCGAGUGGCGAACGGGUGAGUAACGCGUGAGGAACCAGCCUCAAAGAGGGGGACAACAGUUGGAAACGACUGCUAAUACCGCAUAAGCCCACGGUGCCGCAUGGCACAGAGGGAAAAGGAGCAAUCCGCUUUGAGAUGGCCUCGCGUCCGAUUAGCUAGUUGGUGAGGUAAUGGCCCACCAAGGCGACGAUCGGUAGCCGGACUGAGAGGUUGAACGGCCACAUUGGGACUGAGACACGGCCCAGACUCCUACGGGAGGCAGCAGUGGGGAAUAUUGCACAAUGGGGGAAACCCUGAUGCAGCGACGCCGCGUGGAGGAAGAAGGUCUUCGGAUUGUAAACUCCUGUUGUUGGGGAAGAUAAUGACGGUACCCAACAAGGAAGUGACGGCUAACUACGUGCCAGCAGCCGCGGUAAAACGUAGGUCACAAGCGUUGUCCGGAAUUACUGGGUGUAAAGGGAGCGCAGGCGGGAAGACAAGUUGGAAGUGAAAUCUACGGGCUCAACCCAUAAACUGCUUUCAAAACUGUUUUUCUUGAGUAGUGCAGAGGUAGGCGGAAUUCCCGGUGUAGCGGUGGAAUGCGUAGAUAUCGGGAGGAACACCAGUGGCGAAGGCGGCCUACUGGGCACCAACUGACGCUGAGGCUCGAAAGUGUGGGUAGCAAACAGGAUUAGAUACCCUGGUAGUCCACACCGUAAACGAUGAUUACUAGGUGUUGGAGGAUUGACCCCUUCAGUGCCGCAGUUAACACAAUAAGUAAUCCACCUGGGGAGUACGACCGCAAGGUUGAAACUCAAAGGAAUUGACGGGGGCCCGCACAAGCAGUGGAGUAUGUGGUUUAAUUCGACGCAACGCGAAGAACCUUACCAAGUCUUGACAUCCCUUGACAGACAUAGAAAUAUGUAAUCUCUUCGGAGCAAGGAGACAGGUGGUGCAUGGUUGUCGUCAGCUCGUGUCGUGAGAUGUUGGGUUAAGUCCCGCAACGAGCGCAACCCUUAUGGUCAGUUACUACGCAAGAGGACUCUGGCCAGACUGCCGUUGACAAAACGGAGGAAGGUGGGGAUGACGUCAAAUCAUCAUGCCCUUUAUGACUUGGGCUACACACGUACUACAAUGGCGUUAAACAAAGAGAAGCAAGACCGCGAGGUGGAGCAAAACUCAGAAACAACGUCCCAGUUCGGACUGCAGGCUGCAACUCGCCUGCACGAAGUCGGAAUUGCUAGUAAUCGUGGAUCAGCAUGCCACGGUGAAUACGUUCCCGGGCCUUGUACUCACCGCCCGUCA
rnacentral:rRNA from 1 species